rnacentral:rRNA from 1 species
GACAGAGGUGCCAAGCGUUAGGCGGAAUUACUGGGCGUAAAGCGUGCGCAGGCGGUUCUCCAAGUCCGUUGUGAAAGCCCCGGGCUUAACCUGGGAAUGGCGUUUGAAACUACGGAGCUGGAGUAUGGCAGAGGGGGGUGGAAUUCCACGUGUAGCGGUGAAAUGCGUAGAUAUGUGGAGGAACACCGAUGGCGAAGGCAGCCCCCUGGGCCAAUACUGACGCUCAUGCACGAAAGCGUGGGGAGCAAACAGG